UUUUUUUUCCACCCAGAACACAACCAAAAAAGAAAAAAGUUGUUGUGGAGGAUUCACCUCCUAAAGAAGAUCAAUACUUUGACGGUGAGACAUAUGAAAUAUCAAGUGACGAACUGGAUGAAUGGCUAGGGCAAAACGUUGAUAAAUCUGCUGCAGAGGGGGAGAACCAACCUGACCUGCGAUCGACAGAAGGUCGCUAUGUGUCGUCUGAAAC